GAUAAUGUACUUCCCAAAGGACAAUGACAAAGUAAGUCCAUGCUCACAAGUUACAAGGGCAGUCUCCAUUGAAGUGAAGUGUAUUUUGCUCAUUAUUCCUCAACGGAAUAUAAAGUUUGGUACAUGAAACUCAAUAAUCUUCUGGUCUUGGCCGUUUAGCAGUUGCAAUUUACAAACUUACACACGACCUUAAUGGUUGUCAGUCACCACUCACCAAUGUGGGCAAUCUUCAGAGCAAAGCUUCAAAUGUAGUCGAUUAUACACAGCUUUUGCAUGAUAAUUCUCCGAGCGCAAUGAGUCAGGCACAUAAUCAACUCCGAGCACAAGAAAAUAAGAAAUGUAUUCACAUGGCAGAUGGACAUCAAAGAAUCAACCUGCUGCAUCGAUUAGACAGAUGAAUUUGCUUCAGAAAACUGGUGUUGGACUUGAUGUGCCCUCACCUGCAGGCAUUAUUGAGGACCGAGACAGAAUUAUCGAAAGCAAAAGUCCGACCACAUAAGAAUGGUACUUGGAUGCAUGCACUGUACCUCACUCUUCAGUCUUUCGGAUGAGCUAGCAAAGAAUACCAGAGCUGUUUUGUUGUCUUUCAGCAUCCUGACCCUUUAAAUUAUGUUCGGAGUUCAGAAAUAUGUAGGUCGCUGGAAUUGUGGAUGUUCAGCAAAAUGAGAAGCAUUGGACCCAUCUGACAAUGAAAUGGAUGGAGGUAAGCAAUCGUAUUUUGAUGCAAUAUCAGGACUGUGUAUCACAAAAAUCACCCCACAGCUUGAAGUAGAAUACCCUGAAGAGGUUAUCUUCUAGUACUGGUGAUAACUGAUGGCAGAAUUCCAGGACAGGCAGUGUAUGUGAAUGUAGUUGUUCAUUUCCAAGAAACUACUAUUAGUACCAGGCAACUGUACCUAACGACAGAUGAGAGUUUG
rnacentral:lncRNA from 1 species